rnacentral:rRNA from 1 species
UCCUACGGGACGCAGCAGUGAGGAAUAUUGGUCAAUGGCCGAGAGGCUGAACCAGCCAAGUCGCGUGAGGGAUGACGGCCCUACGGGUUGUAAACCUCUUUUGUCGGGGAGCAAGACCCGCCACGAGUGGCGGAGCGAGAGUACCCGAAGAAAAAGCAUCGGCUAACUCCGUGCCAGCAGCCGCGGUAAUACGGAGGAUGCGAGCGUUAUCCGGAUUUAUUGGGUUUAAAGGGUGCGCAGGCGGACCAUCAAGUCAGCGGUAAACUCGUGGGGCCCAACCCCAUCCCGCCCUUUGAACCGGCGGG